GACGUAGGGGACGAGCGUUGUCCGGAUUCAUUGGGCGUAAAGCGCGUGUAGGCGGUUCAGUAAGUCUGCUGUGAAAGUCCAGGGCUCAACCCUGGGAUGCCGGUGGAUACUGCCGUGCUUGAGGACUGGAGAGGAGACUGGAAUUUACGGUGUAGCGGUGAAAUGCGUAGAUAUCGUAAGGAAGACCAGUGGCGAAGGCGGGUCUCUGGACAGUUCCUGACGCUGAGGCACGAAGGUCAGGGGAGCAAACGGG
rnacentral:rRNA from 1 species